rfam:Thermus scotoductus SA-01, complete genome.
UUUGUGCUCUUUGGUCGGGCCAAGGGAGCACGGUAAGAGCCAGCCGCCGCGGGGCGCGAGGUCCCGCGGAAGAACCCUGUUAGCUUAC